ACAGUGAAAAAUGAAAAUCUGCAGCACAUUUCCAGAAGUCAAAACAAUGAAUUACUGAAGACGGAAUCUGAAAGGAGAAAAUAGAGCCAUAACCCCCAAAAAAGUUUAUUGAGGGAAAUUAUAAUAAUAGAGAAAUUGGAAGCGUGUGCUGGAAUUCAAAACAGAGCCUUUCCCACAGCCACCUCCCCCACUGCAUGAGCGCACACGCACAUGCACACACACACACACACAGACCUUCCACCCUCGACCCUACAACUUGUGUGGAUGCACCCACUGGGCCCCAAUGAUCCCAAGGCUUUAAGAGAAAUCCAGCAGCUCUAUCUCAGAAACAAAGAUUAGAAUCCCCGGGGGGGAAAAAUCCUCAUGAAUAUGAAAUAAAAGGACUGCCCACUCCAUUACUCAGGAAAUACACUAACAAAAUCUUCAGCUUCUAAAGGCGGAUGUUUUCCCCCUUGGAUCGAAUAUUCCCAGGGACUCCUGACCUGUCCAAUCUCCUGGUGGCCGCUGGAUUGAAUUGUUCCUUAUCUUUCAUCCAGAGACCAAGGGGGACCGGAAACUGGAAGGUCUUUGAAAUGGCUUCCUGAACACAGCGUGUUGCUAUGUCUUCUGUUUGCUCCCCAAGUGAAAAUGAAAAGCCAAGGAGAAGAAAUAAAGUUCAAUUCAACCAUAGGCCAUGGCCCCGUUGUGGUGUGCCAUCUACAGCCUGACAAGAAGGUCCUCACUGAGAACUCGCCAUGCUGACACCGUGACCUUGGAUUUCCAGCCUCUAGAACUGUGAGAAAUAAAUGUCUGCUGUUUGA